rnacentral:rRNA from 1 species
AACGUAGGAGACAAGCGUUAUCCGGAGUUACUGGGCGUAAAGGGCGUGCAGGUGGUCUGUUAAGUCUGGCGUGAAAGCUCCUGGCUAAACCGGGAGAGGUCGUUGGAUACUGGCGGACUAGAGGACGGUAGAGGCGUGUGGAAUUCCGGGUGUAGUGGUGAAAUGCGUAGAGAUCCGGAGGAACACCAGUGGCGAAGGCGACACGCUGGGCAGUAACUGACACUGAUACGCGACAGCAUGGGGAGCGAACGGG